GGCUCAAUGGUCUAGUGGUAUGAUUCGUGCUUCGGGAAUUUGCUCUUCUCUUCCCUUCAUUCAUUUAGAAUGGAAAAUGUGCGAGGUCUCGGGUUCGAUCCCCGAUUGAGCCC